GAGCCCAGUUUUCGAAUCCGACCUUCAAAAUUCAAACUGGAAAAAAAAAAAAAUUCUACUCUAAUACUAACCGGAGUAACCUCCGUCACUUAAACCGGUGAAUUGAUAAAAACACACAUUCACGCACUCAUCCACCGUACUCACCCGCUGCCUCCUCUGCUGGACAAUCUUUGGGAAAAUGGAGAAAGAGCAUGACCCAACAUUAUCAGCAUCGCCGCCGGCAACUGCCGGUUGUGAGUUGGGAGAAGGGCAAGCUAAGCUAUAUGAGGCCUACAAUGAGCUACAUGGUUUAGCGCAGGAGUUCGAGACGCCGUUCGACGCCCCAGCUGUGCUGGUUGUGGGUCACCAAACUGACGGCAAAAGCGCACUCGUGGAAGCUCUCAUGGGUUUCCAGUUCAACCACGUCGGUGGCGGUACCAAGACUCGCCGGCCCAUUACUCUCCAUAUGAAGUAUAAUCCCGACUGUGACUCACCUCUCUGUCAUCUGCUCUCUGAUUCUGACCCCAGCAUUGACCAACAGUUGUCACUUCAAGAAAUUCAGGCAUAUAUUGAAGCUGAAAACAUGAGGUUGGAGAAGGAACCCUGUCAGUUUUCUUCUAAAGAAAUAAUCAUCAGAGUAGAAUAUAAGUAUUGUCCGAACCUCAGCAUUAUAGACACUCCAGGACUUGUUGCUCCAGCCCCAGGUCGGAAAAACAGAGCUUUACAGGCUCAAGCUCGUGCAGUGGAAUCUCUAGUGCGAGCUAAGAUGCAGCACAAGGAGUUUAUUAUUCUAUGCCUUGAAGAUUGCAAUGAUUGGAGCAAUGCAACUACUAGAAGAGUGGUAAUGCAGAUUGAUCCCGAGCUUUCAAGAACUGUUGUUGUUGCAACGAAGCUCGAUACUAAAAUACCUCAGUUUGCACGAUCAUCAGAUGUUGAAGUAUUUCUUUCGCCACCUGCAUCUACUCUUGAUGGGUUCAUGCUAGGUGACUCCCCUUUCUUCACAUCUGUCCCUUCUGGAAGAGUAGGUUUGGGGCAUGAAUCAGUUUAUCGAUCAAAUGAUGAGUUUAAACAGGCUAUUUCCUUGAGAGAAAUGGAGGAUGUAGCAGCAUUGGAGGAGAAGUUGGGUAGAUCACUCACAAAACAGGAAAGGAGCAGAAUAGGUGUCAGCAGCCUUAGGCUGUUCUUAGAAGAGCUAUUGCAGAAAAGGUACAUGGACAGUGUACCAUUAAUCAUCCCACUUCUUGAAAAAGAACAUAGGAGCAGCACAAGGAAGCUGACUGACAUAAAUCAAGAGCUAAGCACUUUGGAUGAAGUAAAACUGAAGGAGAAAGGAAGAGCUUUCCAUGACCUGUUCCUUACCAAGUUGUCGCUGCUGUUGAAAGGAACUGUCAUUGCUCCACCUGAUAAAUUUGGGGAAACUCUACAAGACGAGAGGGUCAAUGGAGGAGCAUUUGUUGGAAGUGAUGGUCUUCAGUUUCCACACAAGCUGAUACCUAAUGCUGGAAUGCGUCUUUAUGGAGGUGCUCAGUAUCAUCGUGCAAUGGCUGAAUUUCGUUUUGUUGUUGGUGGAACCAAAUGUCCUCCAAUUACACGUGAAGAAAUUGUAAAUGCAUGUGGAGUUGAAGACAUUCAUGAUGGGACAAACUACUCUAGGACAGCUUGUGUCAUUGCUGUUGCAAAAGCUCGUGAUACAUUUGAGCCUUUUCUUCAUCAGUUGGGAAACAGGCUGUUGCACAUUCUGAAGAGAUUGCUUCCCAUCUCUGUUCAUCUUCUUCAGAAAGAUGGUGAAUAUCUAAGUGGCCAUGAAGUAUUUCUCAGACGGGUUGCCUCUGCCUUCAACAACUUUGGAGAAUCCACUGAAAGAUCAUGCCGUGAAAAAUGCAUGGAGGACUUAGUCAGCACUACUCGCUACGUAACGUGGUCCCUCCACAAUAAGAAUCGUGCUGGACUACGUCAGUUCUUAGACUCAUUUGGUGGAUCAGAACAGUCUGCCACGGGUGGUAACUCAGUAGCUGCCAGUCUUUCCCAAGAAUUGUCAUCUCUGUCUAUGGCCAGUGAUAAGCAGGACAGUAAGCCAAGGCCAGACGUGAAGCUCGGUCAUUUGGCUUCAGGGAAUGAUUCAAGUGGGAGUGUUCAGGCAACAGAGACAAGAUUGGCUGACCUUUUGGAUAGCACACUUUGGAACAGGAGGCUUGCUCCUUCUUCCGAAAGGAUUGUCUAUGCAUUGGUUCAACAGAUUUUCCAUGGGAUAAGAGAGUACUUUUUGGCAUCUGUUGAGCUGAAGAAUAUUGUUGGAGAUUUUCCCUAUCAUCGGCUCUGGCUUCUUUUCUGCAGUUUAACUGUUUCCUCCUCAUGCCGGUUGUGGACAAAUUACCCGCACUCCUUCGGGAAGACCUAGAAUCUGCUUUCCAAGAUGAUCUGGAUAAUGUUUUCGACAUCACCAAUCUGCGCCAUUCUCUGGGACAGCAGAGGCGUGAAGUAGAAAUUGAGCUUAGACGGAUAAAACGACUUAAAGAGAAGUUCAGGCAGAUUCAUGAGCAACUAAUUUCACAUGAAGUCAUGUGCUAGUCAUAACCGACCAGUUUGAAGGUGGGAUGAUCAAGUGCCGGUGCUAUUUGAGUUUGUUGCAUGACCACAAACGUGUGUGCCAGUUGUAUCGAUGCAUUAGAGACUUGAUCAACCUGAAAAUCUCAUCCAAGCUUUAGAUUUUGUGAUUUUUUUUUUUUUUGCUUGCACGUUUUCUUCUCUGCUUUUGGAUAAAUAUCUCAGAAGUUAUUCAAUUUCUCAUCCUUUUUCAAAAAGGGAAGAAAAAAAAAAACUUUGAAUCAAAUAA